CUCGAAAGAGAGCCGUAACACAGGUGCUGGCAUGGCUGUCGUCAGCUCGUGUCGUGAGAUGUUGGGUUAAGUCCCGCAACGAGCGCAACCCUUGUCAUUAGUUGCUACAUUCAGUUGGGCACUCUAAUGAGACUGCCGGUGACAAACCGGAGGAAGGUGGGGAUGACGUCAAGUCCUCAUGGCCCUUAUAGGUGGGGCUACACACGUCAUACAAUGGAUGGUACAAAGGGUCGCCAACCCGCGAGGGGGAGCCAAUCCCAUAAAGCCAUUCGUAGUCCGGAUCGCAGUCUGCAACUCGACUGCGUGAAGUCGGAAUCGCUAGUAAUCGUGGAUCAGAAUGUCACGGUGAAUACGUUCCCGGGUCUU
rnacentral:rRNA from 1 species